rnacentral:rRNA from 1 species
UACGGAGGAGGCAAGCGUUAUCCGGAAUUAUUGGGCGUAAAGCGUCCGCAGGUGGCACCUCAAGUCUGCUGUCAAAGACCGGGGCUUAACCCCAGAAAGGCAGUGGAAACUGAAGUGCUAGAGUGCAGUAGGGUAGAGGGAAUUCCCGGUGUAGCGGUGAAAUGCGUAGAGAUCGGGAAGAACAUCGGUGGCGAAAGCGGCGUUCUGGACUGUAUCUGACACUGAUAGACGAAGCCAGGGAGCAA